GGUAGCUCAGUGGUAGAGCACUUGCCUAGCAUGCAGAAGACCGCAGAUUCAAUCCCCUGCACCA
rnacentral:tRNA from 1 species